GCUUACGGCCAUACCACCCUGAGCGCGCCCGAUCUCGUCUGAUCUCGGAAGCUUAGCAGGGUCGGGCCUGGUUAGUACUUGGAUGGGAGACCGCCUGGGAAUACCAGGUGCUGUAAGCUUUA
rnacentral:rRNA from 1 species